CCCUGUUACUUUCCUCCCUGGGCAACCCACGUACGUGACCUCCCUCUCUCUCUCUCGUCUCCUCUUCCAUCUAAGCCGCCGCCACAAGCAUCGCCCAGCGGGAGAGGAGCUAGCUCCGUUCUCCCACGCAGCCACACCAACUUCGUCGCCACAAGAGAUGAGAGGGCCGGAGGAGAAGGCGGCGGCGGCGUUGGUUUCGAUCUGCGAUCUGCCUCGAUGUGGGAGGCGGCGGCGGUGGCGGCGGCGUUGGCUUCGAUCUGUGAUCUGCCUCGAUGUGGGAGGCGACGGAUCGAUUCGGUCGAAGUUGUUGUCGGAGGUGCUGGGUGGUAGGAGCACCACCCGACGGCCCUGGUGAACGACGAUGGGGCCACCUGAGGAGGGCGGCGAGUUUGUUGACGACUGCAACGAGAGCUCGUCGGAUCCGUCAUCGGCGUCGUUCUUCUGCUUGAGACAGCCGUCGUCUACGUGACCUCCUCGCCACCAUGUGUGGACGCUGGUGAGGCCAGCCUUCCCUCCAUGGCUCCACGACAGAUACUCCCCCUCUCCCCUCGGCUCCCUCUCCCUUACCCUAUCUCUCUUCCUGACCCUCUCUCCGUUAUACACAAAAAGAGCCGUGGUGGCAGCACAACAAAGUACAUAACUGGAUGCUAAAUAGGCAGAUUUAUCCAAUCCUCAUACUAGAUUGAAUUAAUGAAGCUGCAAUUCAUUACUUAUCUGAUCACUAUCAAAUAGAACUAGAUGUGAUGGAUUAAAUAUCCUUGCUGAACAACUAAUUACACUGGUUUAUUGACCGGUCUGCAAGAUUUGUCAUACCGAACAAGGAACACACGGCUGGAGAACAUGACAUGGAGGAUCUGGAUCCUGGCAAAUAAGAAGGAGAUGAGCUCUUUCUCUUGGAUCGUAACCUCCUUGUAUGAGAUUUUAUUGGGUUUGGUUUGUGUGAAUUAUGUACGUCAAUGCACAGGAAGGAUUUCAAGCCCAUGAUUUGUGGUUCUUGUUCUUUCCAAAUUGCCAUGAUUUUAACAAAAAAAUUGGUGUAGAUUCUAAUUUCUGUUGUAAGUGCAUGCCAUUUUUGGUUUUACAUGUUUAUUUAUAGCUUACAUCUCUUACUGAAAUUUGCAGGAUGAGAACUGAAGCAUGGAUCUGUACUAUGCUAUCUGGAUUUGUGACCUUAUUCAUGGAAACAGUGAAAAUAGCGAGUACCGGUCAUUAUUUGGUCCCAGUAUGCACAACUUAAUUUAAUUUUCAUUUUGCAAAUUCAAAGGUGGCUGAGGACUGUGAUUUUGUGGACCUACCAGUUCCUAGGAAAUUAAGAUCAUGUACUGAUUGCUGUCUCAUAAAACUAGGAACAUGGACAACUUUGUCCCUUUCUCUUUCCAUCUUUACCUAUUGAUUUGCUGAUUGCAUAGGAGCAUGUGUGGAAAAUGGUUUUCAAAUUUGAUGGCUAACCAAAAAUAUAUUUGUGUGUUUUACAAACUAAUAUACUAAUAUUUUUUAACAACAAAUCUAACUUAACCUGUCUCUGAAUGUAUUAUUGAUGUUAGUGUUUCUAACCUCGGGACAUUCACGCAUUGGAUGUUUUCUUAAGCCAUUGGCAGAGCACCAAAUUCACAUCUCAAUAUUGAGUCUCCUACUUUCAGGUUUUAGCCAUACACAAUCAUGCUGGUCGGACCGUUCCCUCGUCACUGAGGCAUGCCAAGAAGAGGCGACAUCUUUCAGCUAUAAGUGCUCAGAUUUUUCUGACGGGUCAUGAAACAAGAACCGAUGAGACCAUGAGUUGCAAACCUUCCUGAAAUUGUGUGCAAGACCUGAAGACCCAAUGGUCUGGUCUUUCCCAUUCUUGGCCAUUGGGAGGAAGCAGAGCAGCUGCCAACGGCCGGGAAGGUGGGGCGGUGGAUGAGAGGAAGCGGCUGCGAGCACGCACCGGCCGUGCACCUUGAGGGAGGAUUGGGUGGGAGGAGAGGUGGUGGCGGUAGUUUCAAUAUGUGAUCUGCCACCAGAGCCGCCACAAGGAUGGAUGACAAGAUCAGAGGUGAGCCCCCUCCGGUGCGCCGGCGUCGGUGAGGGUCCGGAGCACCACCAAGCCGUUCCACGGUCCGCCUCCGGCUUCUCUAAUCAGUUGUUGUCUGGUGAGCAUCGGUUUUGUCGCCUUUCAUCGAUCGAUCGUGUUGUUCAUCUUCCUUGCUGAGCCUUCUGCCUCGUUCGUCGUCAAGAUGUGUUUCUGCUAUUCUUCUGUGUGAUUUAGUGUUUUCGGUGUCCUUGGAUUCAUAUGUAUGUUGGUCGAUUCAUGCUGAUUAGGUGUUUGAUGCUAUGCCAUCCAUAUGGUGGUCUGGGAUUUUCGUUUUUUUUGUCAGAAAUCGCACGAGUGAGAUCAUUCUCGACUUUGAUUCGGCGUUCGGUGUACUGAGUGGAUCGUCUCUGCAGUUCAGAUGAGCAACAUCAUCUCUAUAACUGAAUACAAUAACGAAGCUGCAUUUGUUUUCAUGGAUGGCUCUUCUCUCAUCAGGCGGCACCAAAUUGGGUUGUCUGACAUGCUUUGCAAUGUUAGUGCUUGUCUGAAGCUUUUCGAGAAGCAUUUGUGUGUUCUCAUGCUCAGGAGUUACAAGGAGCAAUGGUGCUAUGGUCUUGAACUUCCACUGAUCUUCUACCGAAGAAUGAUCCUUAGCUUAGUUACUUAGUUUGAUGUCUUUUUUCGAGGAUAGGUUUGGAGUUGCAUCCGCUUUUGUCUAGGUUGGUACUUCGACCAGAAUUCACAUGACACUAUAUGCCAAGAUUAGUUCUUGUACUUCCUCUAAUGCAUGACUGAAUGGAAACGAUUGAUUUAUUUUUCUUAUAAUAUGUGAACCAUGUACUGCAUCAACACUCAAUGUAGAUCGUGCUUUCAA